rnacentral:rRNA from 1 species
UACGUAGGGUGCAAGCGUUAAUCGGAAUUACUGGGCGUAAAGCGUGCGCAGGCGGUUCUAUAAGACAGAUGUGAAAUCCCCGGGCUCAACCUGGGGACUGCAUUUGUGACUGUAGAGCUGGAGUACGGUAGAGGGGGAUGGAAUUCCGCGUGUAGCAGUGAAAUGCGUAGAUAUGCGGAGGAACACCGAUGGCGAAGGCAAUCCCCUGGACCUGUACUGACGCUCAUGCACGAAAGCGUGGGGAGCAAACAGG